UACGUAGGGGGCAAGCGUUGCCGGAAUCAUUGGGCGUAAAGAGCGCGUAGGCGGCCGGUAAGUCCGCUGUGAAAGUCCAGGGCUCAACCCCUGGAAGUGCAUUGGAUACUACGGAGCUGGAGGCCUGGAGAGGUAAGCGGAAUUCCCGGUGUAGAGGUGAAAUUCGUAGAUAUCGGGAGGAACACCAGUGGCGAAGGCGGCUUACUGGACAGGUCCUGACACUGAGACGCGAAAGCGUGGGUAGCAAACAGG
rnacentral:rRNA from 1 species